GAGCACAUGUUAGAGGAGCAGCUUGGAAACAACACAAGCCGACUCUAGUCUGCGGUAUCCGUGAGCCAAAGUGGGCAAGUGGACAGGCCCUCGCAUAUGUUGAACACUCUGAAAUCCCAUUGGCUUCAGUGAGAAAGAUCUAAUUGCCUCCCUAUUUUUCCCAUGGUAAGACUUUAUAGCGCUUACUCUGGAUCACAUUCUCAGUAUUUUUGGAAGUUC
rnacentral:lncRNA from 1 species